rnacentral:rRNA from 1 species
AAAAGCUUUCUUUAAUUGAAUAAUUGAAUUUAAUUUUUUAGUGCAAAAGCAAAAAUAAAAAUUAGGGACAAGAAGACCCUAUGAAUUUUUUAUUAAAUUUUAUAAAACUUUUUAUAAAAUUUAAUUUAAUUGGGGUGAUGGAAAAAGAAUAAAUAUCUUUUUUUUAAAAAAAAUUGGUUCCGUUUUUAGCGAUUAAAUGAAAAAAAUACUCUAGGGAUAACAGCGUAAUAAUUUUGGAUAGUUCAUAUAGAUAAAAUAGUUUGCGACCUCGAUGUUGGAUUAGGAUUCUUUUUUGGUGAAGAAGUUAAAAAAA